AGUGGCGCACGGGUGCGUAACGCGUAUGCAACCUACCUUAUACUGGGGGAUAGCCCGGGGAAACUCGGAUUAAUACCGCAUAGUAAUAUUGAUUGGCAUCGGUUAAUAUUUAAAGAUUUAUUGGUAUAAGAUGGGCAUGCGUAGGAUUAGCUAGUUGGUAGGGUAACGGCCUACCAAGGCUACGAUCCUUAGGGGUUCUGAGAGGAAGGUCCCCCACACUGGUACUGAGAUACGGACCAGACUCCUACGGGAGGCAGCAGUAGGGAAUAUUGGGCAAUGGACGGAAGUCUGACCCAGCCAUGCCGCGUGCAGGAAGAAGGCGUUAUGCGUUGUAAACUGCUUUUAUACGGGAAGAAAAGGCCCAUGCGUGGGACAUUGCCGGUACCGUAUGAAUAAGCACCGGCUAACUCCGUGCCAGCAGCCGCGGUAAUACGGAGGGUGCAAGCGUUGUCCGGAUUUAUUGGGUUUAAAGGGUGCGUAGGCGGCGGUUUAAGUCAGUGGUGAAAGUUUUGGGCUUAACUCAGAAAUUGCCAUUGAUACUG
rnacentral:rRNA from 2 species